rnacentral:rRNA from 1 species
UACCCGCUGAAUUUAAGC